GUCUGGACGGUGUGUUCCAGGCCCAGCCUAAGGGCCUGUUUCAAAGGUCACCCCUGUGGUAUCUCAAACCAGCUUGGGCUCUGCGACAUGUAGGAUGGAAAUGGCCCAAGGCCCAGCAUGUACACCAGACAGAGGCAGUUCAGGGGGUAUGCAUAGGAAGUACAAGUACAAAUUGCGUUGUCUUCUUCCCUGCUGGCCUGCCUGACUACUCUGCUACUUGACAGAAUCCAGUGCACCUCCUCCAGACACUCACCAAGCAGCUGGGGAGUGUCCUGCCACCUCGGCCAUCCUAGUCCAUCCUGUCAAUGUGAAACACCUGCUCAGGCUGUCAUGCAGCAGGACCAGCGCGCAGAGCGAGGUCUGGCCUAUCUGGAGCCGUGGGUUUGGCACUGAAGUUGGAGAGACCCUUACAACGGAAAGGCUGGGGUGGGGACUCAGGGGCUAACGGCCAGGGUUUGCCUUUCGGUGAUAAGAUAGGGAGGGAGGUGGGCUUAUUGCAAACAAUUGGGUUUUAUUUGCUGGGAGCCUGCUCAGCUCUUCACUGAGGAGGAUGAACCUAAUGUUUUCUGGUUUUUUUAAAAAAAAUAUGGUUGUUUGUUUUGGGCUCCAGCUUCCUGCAGUAUCAGUUUCUGUCAGACCAGUUUGUUAAAAAAGCACUUUGAGUAAAUACCAGAGGCCAGGAUGAAAGUAAAAUAGAG
rnacentral:lncRNA from 1 species